rnacentral:rRNA from 1 species
AGUGAACGCUGGCGGCAGGCCUAAUACAUGCAAGUCGAACGGCAGCACAGUGGAGCUUGCUCCAUGGGUGGCGAGUGGCGGACGGGUGAGGAAUACAUGGGAAUCUGCCCAGUCGUGGGGGAUAACGUAGGGAAACUUACGCUAAUACCGCAUGCGCCCUUCGGGGGAAAGCCGGGGACCGUAAGGCCUGGCGCGAUUGGAUGAGCCCAUGUCGGAUUAGCUAGUUGGCGGGGUAACGGCCCACCAAGGCGACGAUCCGUAGCUGGUCUGAGAGGAUGAUCAGCCACACUGGAACUGAGACACGGUCAGACUCCUACGGGAGGCAGCAGUAGGGAAUAUUGGACAAUGGGCGCAAGCCUGAUCCAGCCAUGCCGCGUGAGUGAAGAAGGCCCUCGGGUUGUAAAGCUCUUUUGUCCGGAAAGAAAAGCACUGGGUUAAUACCCCGGUGUCCUGACGGUACCGGAAGAAUAAGCACCGGCUAACUUCGUGCCAGCAGCCG